UUGAUGAAAUCAUGCACGAGGACUGAGCAUGGUAAUUUAACCAGCUAGAGAAAGCCUAGAAAUGGUGAUGCCACCAUAGUUGAGUCAAGAUAAGUAGGCUGACCAAAGCGACAGGAGGGCUGAUGGCAAGGUAAUCACAAUUACCUGGAGAGUUUUUUAAAAAAAUACACAUGCUUCCAUAGGGGGAAAUUGCAAAACAUAUCAGUUCCCCACAGAAUUUUAUGAACCACCUUUCACCUAGGUUGAAAGUAAAUUUGUUGGAUAAUUUGUCAUCCUUGGAUUAUAAAACUCUUUGGAAAGGGGACAACUUGCUGAGAGGCCUUGUGAUGUAGUGCAAAAGUCCCAGGCUUUGUUGUUUGCCAGACAUGAAUUUCAUCCCAGGCCUUGGUAAUAUGUUCAAUCUUGGGUAAAUUUUUUAAUUUUCCAAAGGGUCAGAUUUCUCAUGUGUAAAAUGAGAUGAAUACUGCUUUCUUUCUAGGGUUUUUAAGGAUAAACUAGGGAGGAAAAAUGUGAAGUUUACACUACAUUGGUUAGCACUAUGCAGAUACUAAAAUAUGUCAGUAUUUCCAUUCUACUAUCAGGAUCAUUGAGGUGGAAGGAUCUUCAAGAUAUCUCCAAUUUAAGCCAGUCCCCCAUUUUGUGUCUAGAAUUUUUGUCUUGAUUUCUAUACUUCAUCCCUCCUCUCAGAUUAUGAACUCUCCUGGCAUUCCCUAAACAUUGGUUCAUAGAGGACACAUGGAAUUUAAGAUGAAUGUGGAGCAUAUCUGCUGUAGCUUUGUAAACUUGCAAUCCACUCUCUCCAAGCUCAGGGAGAUCAGAACAUAUCCAAAUUCUGAGAGACUAGAGAAACCACAUGUUGAAUGUGGAAAAGCUACUAUCAACCUGUGUCCCUGAAUAGCUGCCUGAGGGGGAACCACCUACUAACCUGAAAUACCUGUCCUGGAAUUUCAUACAUUGAAAAAAUUUGGGAUAACAUAAAAAAAAUAACGACUUCCAGAAACAUUCAAUGUGAAAAGAGACUUAAUGAAGUAGCAUGACAACUUAUAUCUAGUUCAAGCAUCUGUCAAUAAGUUUCAUGCUUUGCUAAUCCAUAAAAGAAGAAAAUAAAAGUCCUUUGGUUUUUCUGCCUUCCAACUCUAGAACAGAAUGUCCCUGACUUGAAAAUGGAUGAUGUCCAAAAAGGGAAAAAUGAAAAGAUAACUUGAUAUACCAUUAACUGCUUUAGCAUUUUUAGUAUUUCAAAAAUUUGCUGUAUAUACUCCUCUCAUUGAAAUAUGCAAUUAUGACAUUUCUAAGAAGUGAUGGCAUCUGGUGCUAAGGACAAAAUAGUGGAAUUUCCUGCAGGGAGCCUGAUUCUCCCACCUGUUCUGUCUGAACAAGAAAGUUUUCUGAGGCCAUGUAUGGUGAUGGUGUGAGUAGCUAUCUAAUGUGAGACAGAUAUGUAAAAGUUUGUUACUUUUUACUAAGACUAUGAUUUGUGAACAAUAAUUGCAAAUAAUUGGCACUUAGAUAUUAUUUUGUGUGUGUGUGUGUGUAUUUAUAUUUAUGUAAUGGUCAUGCUGUCAUUAUCUUCAUUUUACAGAUGUGAAACUGAGCAGUAAAGAAGUUACAUCUCUUGCUCAAAGUUACUUAGCUGGUGGGUGAAAAAGCCAGAAUUCAAACCCAGGCAACUUGGUUCCUAGUCUGUCUUAUUAUCUAGUACACAUCAUACCCCUUACCUCAAAUUAGUAAGUCCUGCUGAGGCUUCAGU